rnacentral:tRNA from 1 species
GCGGGCGUGGCCGGUGGCGGGGCGGCGGUGGCGUUGUUGCCGCCCAGUGUGCAGCGGGCCGUGGCGGCGGGGGCCGUUGCGGGCGGUUCGCUCAGG